rnacentral:rRNA from 1 species
GAUGAACGCUGGCGGCGUGCUUAACACAUGCAAGUCGAACGGAAAGGCCCAAGCUUGCUUGGGUACUCGAGUGGCGAACGGGUGAGUAACACGUGGGUGAUCUGCCCUGCACUUCGGGAUAAGCCUGGGAAACUGGGUCUAAUACCGGAUAGGACGAUGGUUUGGAUGCCAUUGUGGACAGUUUUUUCGGUGUGGGAUGAGCUCGCGGCCUAUCAGCUUGUUGGUGGGGUAAUGGCCUACCAAGGCGUCGACGGGUAGCCGGCCUGAGAGGGUGUACGGCCACAUGGGGACUGAGAUACGGCCCAGACGCCGACGGGGGGCAGCAGUGGGGAAUAUUGCACAAUGGGCGCAAGCCUGAUGCAGCGACGCCGCGUGGGGGAUGACGGCCUUCGGGUUGUAAACUCCUUUCGCUAGGGACGAAGCGUUUUUGUGACGGUACCUGGAGAAGAAGCACCGGCUAACUACGUG